rnacentral:tRNA from 1 species
GAUUGUGGCUCAGGGGUAGAGCACUCGCCUAGCAUGUGUGAAGGCCUGGGUUCAAUCCUUAGCACCA